rnacentral:lncRNA from 1 species
UACACAUUUCAUAACCUUGUUGUUAUUUACCAGGAUAUCCAUUUUCUCCCUUCAAAAAUAGUAUUCCUUAUGUGCACAUGAGAAAGUCACCACAGAAAAGAAAGCAACCUGAUGCUGUCAGAGUGACUCACGUAUCCUCUAUUCUUGGAAGGAGGAGAAAAGAUGGAAGGCCAAUGCAAUACUUUGUUACAUGGAUCUUAUGUUACAUUAUGUCUGUGGCCCAGCAUGCUUAUGUGAAAGAAAGAAUACCAGUCUCAUUUUUCAGGUAUACAACUUCAAGAGAACACCAUGGCUUUAGUCAAAAGGAAAGAAGCUGCGUCAUGUUGUCGGUGUUUGAAGGAAGAAAAGGCUGAAGAUAAUUCUUUAUCAGGUGGAACAGAACCUCUUAUAUGAAAACCCAUGACAUGAAAGGUGGAGGACUACUCAUGGGGAGGAAACAGGAGGCUGAGAAAGAGAAUGGGGAAAUGUUGACAUACCAAGGAAUUGAAGAAAGGGUGGAAGGGAUCAGGCACAGUUUUUUCAUAUAGUCUUUAUAUCUAGUAGCCUCAUUUUAUUGUAAUUUUUCCACUUUUCUCUUUUUUAUCCCAAACUUGCAAAUGAGAACACUGAAGUUCAGAAAGGAUAAGUGAUUUUACUAAGGUCAUGUAGCUGCAAUGUGGUAGAGCUGUG